UGCUAGGGUACCCGGGAUGGUUGCUAGGGUGUUGCUAUGCGGUUGCUAAGGUAUUCGGGGUGGUUGCUCUGGUUUUGCUUUGCGGUUGCUA